rnacentral:rRNA from 1 species
AAAUUGAAGAGUUUGAUCAUGGCUCAGAUUGAACGCUGGCGGCAGGCCUAACACAUGCAAGUCGAACGGUAGCACAGAGAGCUUGCUCUCGGGUGACGAGUGGCGGACGGGUGAGUAAUGUCUGGGAAACUGCCUGAUGGAGGGGGAUAACUACUGGAAACGGUGGCUAAUACCGCAUAACGUCGCAAGACCAAAGAGGGGGACCUUCGGGCCUCUUGCCAUCAGAUGUGCCCAGAUGGGAUUAGCUUGUUGGUGAGGUAACGGCUCACCAAGGCGACGAUCCCUAGCUGGUCUGAGAGGAUGACCAGCCACACUGGAACUGAGACACGGUCCAGACUCCUACGGGAGGCAGCAGUGGGGAAUAUUGCACAAUGGGCGCAAGCCUGAUGCAGCCAUGCCGCGUGUAUGAAGAAGGCCUUCGGGUUGUAAAGUACUUUCAGCGGGGAGGAAGGUGUUGUGGUUAAUAACCACAGCAAUUGACGUUACCCGCAG